GGUGAGUAAUGCCUAGGAAUCUGCCUGGUAGUGGGGGACAACGUUUCGAAAGGAACGCUAAUACCGCAUACGUCCUACGGGAGAAAGCAGGGGACCUUCGGGCCUUGCGCUAUCAGAUGAGCCUAGGUCGGAUUAGCUUGUUGGUGAGGUAAUGGCUCACCAAGGCGACGAUCCGUAACUGGUCUGAGAGGAUGAUCAGUCACACUGGAACUGAGACACGGUCCAGACUCCUACGGGAGGCAGCAGUGGGGAAUAUUGGACAAUGGGCGAAAGCCUGAUCCAGCCAUGCCGCGUGUGUGAAGAAGGUCUUCGGAUUGUAAAGCACUUUAAGUUGGGAGGAAGGGUUGUAGAUUAAUACUCUGCAAUUUUGACGUUACCGACAGAAUAAGCACCGGCUAACUCUGUGCCAGCAGCCGCGGUAAUACAGAGGGUGCAAGCGUUAAUCGGAAUUACUGGGCGUAAAGCGCGCGUAGGUGGUUUGUUAAGUUGGAUGUGAAAGCCCCGGGCUCAACCUGGGAACUGCAUCCAAAACUGGCAAGCUAGAGUACGGUAGAGGGUGGUGGAAUUUCCUGUGUAGCGGUGAAAUGCGUAGAUAUAGGAAGGAACACCAGUGGCGAAGGCGACCACCUGGACUGAUACUGACACUGAGGUGCGAAAGCGUGGGGAGCAAACAGGAUUAGAUACCCUGGUAGUCCACGCCGUAAACGAUGUCAACUAGCCGUUGGAAUCCUUGAGAUUUUAGUGGCGCAGCUAACGCAUUAAGUUGACCGCCUGGGGAGUACGGCCGCAAGGUUAAAACUCAAAUGAAUUGACGGGGGCCCGCACAAGCGGUGG
rnacentral:rRNA from 1 species